rnacentral:misc_RNA from 1 species
GAUGAAGAACGUAGCGGAAUGCGAUAAGUAAUGUGAAUUGCAGAAUUCAGUGAAUCAUCGAAUCUUUGAACGCACCUUGCGCCCUUUGGACUUCUGAAGGGCAUGCCUGUUUGAGUAUCAUGAACACCUCAACUCCUUAUGGUCUUCCAUGAUGAGCUUGGACUUUGGGGGUUUUGCUGGCCUACAGUCAGCUCCUCUAAAAUAAAUCAGCUUACCGGUGUUUGGUGGGUAUCAUGGGUGUGAUAACUAUCUACGCUCGUGGUUUUCCACCAGGUAACCUUCAGCAGUGGAGGUUCACUGGAGCUCAUAGAUGUCUCUCCUCAGCGAGGACAGCCCUUUGAAUGUUUGAUCUCAAAUCAGGUAGGACUACCCGCUGAACUUAAGCAUAUCAAUAAGCGGAGGA